rnacentral:lncRNA from 1 species
GGGGUGUAACAUAUACAACACAGAUAUCGUGGGGGGCGUAAAAUGUACAACAGAGGCAUCGUGGGGGGUAACAUGUACAACAGAGGCAUCAUGGGGGGUAAAAUGACCAACUGAGGCAUCCUGGGGGGUGGAAACAUGUACAACAGAGGCAUUGUGGGGGUGGCAACAUGUACAAAAGAAGCAUCGUGGGGGGAUACCAUGUACAACAGAGGCAUUGUGGGGGAGGCAACAUGUACAAGAGAGGCAUCUUGGAGGAGGCAACAUGUACAAUGGAGGCAUAAUGGGGGGUAACAUGUACAACAGAGGUAUCAAGGGGGUAACAUGUACAGCAGAGGCAUCAUUGGGGGGUAACAUGCACAUCAGAGUCAUUGUAGUGGGAUAACAUGUACAACAGAGGCAUCAUGGGGGGUAACAUUUACAACAUAGGCAUUGUGGGGCUGCAACAUGUACAACAGGAGCAUCGUGGGGGGUAACAUGUACAACAGUGGCAUCAUGGGGGGUAACAUGUACAACUGAGGCAUCUUGGCGCAGGUAACAUGUACAACAGAGGCAUCAUGGGGGGGGGUAACAUGUACAUCAGAGUCAUUAUAGGGGGAUAACAUGUACAACAAAGGCAUCAUUGGGGGUAACAUUUACAACAGAGGCAUCAUGGGGGGUGACAUGUACCACAGAGUGAUCUUGGGGGGAGGGGACAUGUGCAACAGAGGCAUCCUGGGAAGUAACAUGUACAUCAGAGGCAUCAUGGGGGAAACAUGAACAACAGAGGCAUCAUGGGGGGGGGUAACAUGUACAUCAGAGACAUCAUGGGAGUAAUAUGUACAACAGAGUCAUCAUGGGGAGUAACAUGUACAACAGAGGCAUCGUGGGGGUAGUGUGCAACAGAGGAAUCAUGGAGGCUAACAUGAACAAAAGAGGCAUCAUGGCAGAAACAUGUACAACAGAGGCUUCCUGGGGGGGUAACAUGUACAUCAGAGGCAUCAUAGGGGGAAACAUUAACAACAGAGUCAUCAUGGGGGGUAACAUGUACAUCAGAGACAUCAUGGGAGUAAAAUGUACAACAGAGGCAUUGUGGUGGGGGUAAAAUGUACAACAGAGGCAUCAUGAGGGGUAACAUGUACAACAGAGUCAUCGUGGGGGGUAAUAUGCACAAAAGAGACAUCGUGGGGGUAACAUGUACAAAAAAGGCAUAUUGGGGGGUAACCAGUACAACAGAGGAAUCGUGUGGGGGGGUAACAUGCACAUCAGAGUCAUUGUAGGGGGAUAUCAUGUACAACAAAGGCAUCAUUGGGGGUAACAUUUACAACAGAGGCAUUGUGGGGCUGGCAACAUGUACAACAGGAUCAUCGUGGGGGGGUGUAACAUGUACAACAGAGACAUUGUUGGAGUAAUAUGUACAACAGAGGCAUCAUGGGUGUAACAUGUACAACAGAGGCAUCAUGG